rnacentral:rRNA from 1 species
GACGAACCGUGCGAACGUUAUUCGGAAUCACUGGGCUUAAAGCGCGCGUAGGCGGCGCGACGCGACCGGUGUGAAAGCCCCCGGCUCAACUGGGGAGGGUCAUCGGUAACGGUCGUGCUGUGAGUGCAGGAGAGGGAUGUGGAACUCCGGGAGUAGCGGUGAAAUGCGUAGAGACCCGGAGGAACACCAGUGGCGAAGGCGGCAUCCUGGUCUGCGACUGACGCUGAGGCGCGAAAGCUAGGGGAGCGAACGGG